CCUACGGGAGGCAGCAGUGGGGAAUUUUGGACAAUGGGCGAAAGCCUGAUCCAGCCAUGCCGCGUGAGUGAAGAAGGCCUUCGGGUUGUAAAGCUCUUUCAGCCGGAAAGAAAUCGCGCAGGCUAAUACUCUGCGUGGAUGACGGUACCGGAAGAAGAAGCACCGGCUAACUACGUGCCAGCAGCCGCGGUAAUACGUAGGGUGCGAGCGUUAAUCGGAAUUACUGGGCGUAAAGCGUGCGCAGGCGGUUAUAUAAGACAGAUGUGAAAUCCCCGGGCUCAACCUGGGAACUGCGUUUGUGACUGUAUGACUAGAGUACGGCAGAGGGAGGUGGAAUUCCGCGUGUAGCAGUGAAAUGCGUAGAUAUGCGGAGGAACACCGAUGGCGAAGGCAGCCUCCUGGGGCCAGUACUGACGCUCAUGCACGAAAGCGUGGGGAGCAAACAGGAUUAGAUACCCUGGUAGUCCACGCCCUAAACGAUGUCAACUAGUUGUUCGGUGAGGAGACUCAUGUAGUACGACGAGCGACGCGNGUAAGUAGUACGCGUUGGGUAGGUUACGGCGCGAGUUAACGUUACGAAGAGAGUUAGAGGCGNGAGACGNGCCGACGGACGACGACGAGGGAGGUAGG
rnacentral:rRNA from 1 species